CACCACACGCCUCCUCCCUCCCUCCCUCCCUCGACAGCGCCGCGCCUCCUCCCUCCCUCCCUCCCUCGACAGUGUCGCACCUCCUCCCUCCUUCCUGCUCGUCCGGAUAGCCGCCGGCCGCCGCAUCCCUUCUCCCCGAGAUAGGAAGAUGAGAGGGAGAGAAAGGGGAGAGGAGAGGAGAGGGAGGUACGGCAGCGGACGGGAGAGGGUGACCGGCCGGCGUCGGCCUACACCGGCGAGGCGUCGGCUUGCGCCCCUUGCCUCCCCAAUCCCCACAGCCGCACGCCCGCACCCCUCCCUCCUCCCUCGUCUCAGCCGCCACCCCCACGAACCCUAGCCGCGCCCUCCUGCAUCUGCCCUCCUCCUCCCUCCCUGGUCCGCCCCAAGCCCCUCCUCCUCCCUGGCGGCGGGGAGAGGUGACCACGGGCAGAUUUUGGGGAGCAGCGCGAGCAUCAAGCAAUGGCUGAUGCCAAGGCAUGUCAAGAUCAAGGAUAUUUAAACUUGUUUCUUUUAUUGAUGAAAGAUUUCAGAUGCUUCUGUAGAUGAAUUUCUGGUGUUAAUUGUCCCAAAGAUGGAACGAUUUGUUCCACGGAAUUUAUCUCCUUAGUUGCAUUCCAUUUACAGUUCAUGGUCAUGGCCUUGCUGUGGUUGCACGGUGGUUCGGUGAGGAACAGGAGCAAAUACCUUUGCUACAACCAAGGUCUUGACAAACUAGUCAGGGAGAGGUAGGUUCGUUUUGCAGGGGUUGUUAUGUUCUGUCCCCCAUGCCGCUGGACGAGAAAGAGCAGAGGAUCCAGGAAAGCAACCGCAGAAGCCGGAGAAGACGUCCCCAGGGCUUCUACGAGGACCAGAAGCAUUCCUUUCAGCAAUCUGGGGUUGUUAAGAAGAGGGUCGGGAUUGCCCUGGGCAGAUGCUUAAGUUCCUGGAUGUAAACGCACACUUGCCUACAUGGGCCAAAAUAUUAUUUGAGAUAAUGAUACUUGUUUUGCAUAUUUGCAUCUCGAAGAAGCUUGCCCACUAUUGUAGGUCAACAUUUUCUUGCUUGCUUGUGGAAAAACUGGUUCUCGUUCAGUUAUGUGUGUCAGUCUGAUAGAAGAUGGACACCCCUCUUCAAGUUGGUUUAUGGGCUUGCGGAGUGUGAGAAGUAAGUUACUAUUGGAUCCACUUUCUUGUCACUAGCCUUGCUUGACAUGUUCAUUUCUCACGCUACACUUACCAUCAGAAUUAUGUGAUUACAUGGAGAUAUACAUCAGUGCUUGGCAGUUAUUAACAUUAUGGAAGAAACUUCUAAUUAUCUUGAUUAUCUUGCUGCCACUAACUGUGUUGUACUGAUAACACUGAUAGGCUUAACUGAUGUAUUCAGGUAUAGCUGUGAAUAACCUUUAUCUGGACUUCUCAGAAAUUGUUCCCUAGCAAUCGAAUGAUUAAGUAUUGCAUGGUUUGAUUUCUCAAAUCAUUUUGUGGUAUGCACGGUUCAAAUUUUCCAUUUGGACAGCAGAGCUAGCCCACAGUGGUAGUAAAAAGUGGAGUACUCUUUUUAUGACUGACCUAUGCGUGUUAUUCACAUUAUGACAGACUGUUCUAGCUGUAAUUAUGAAUUUGGUGUUCUUGUCGAUCUUGUCUGCUUUUGUCGUGGAUACUGCCUCUAAACUUCAGUUUAGGAAAAUCUCUGCCUUAUAGGGCCGGUUCAUAUUAACAUGGAGGAGGUACAGAGGUUUAUUGCUUCUGUUUGUGGGCUGGCCUUGAGGGGGAGACCAAAGCAAACAUCAACAUGUUCAAGGUGCAUAUACUCUGCUACUUGUGUUCGUCUCCCUACCUAAUGUAGAGCAUUAUACAUUUUGCUCAAUAUAGUUAGUUACUUAGUUUACUGGAAGUUGUGAUAGUCAGAGCGCAUACAUGCUUGAUUUUACUUCAGUUAGUAGCUGUAUCCAGUAGGAACUUAUUUGUGAAAACUAGACCUGGAGAAAGUAUGCAGCCCUGUUUUGUGCAGAUAACUACUCUUGGUUACAUACUGUUGGCAAAUUUAGUAGGCUUAUACAAUAAGCUUCUUCAUUGAUUUUGUUAUUUGUAAACCUGUAGUUACGGAGAUCCAUGAGUUUCAUCGAACAUAUAAACGCUGGUGGGCAACCCGCCGUUCUGGGGGCCUUCGCGCGUGCACGAUCGAUGGCUGUUCGAUUAGCUUCUUUGAUCAUUUUUCACCCUUGAUUUUUACUAUUCACUUCGUCUUUUGUUACAACUUUGACUGCUUUACCGGGUGCCUGCCAUUGGGCCCAUAAAAUCAUUGGUCCACGCGGCAGCGGAGUGCUCGUCAACUCGGUCUGUGACCGCCCGUAAAAAAAACCUAGAUCGUCUGAUACUAUAUCUAUGGGGAUAUGUCUGAAGCUUCAGUAUGUUUUCCUCCUAACAGUAUUUAAUCUAACCAGUGGUGCAUCAGGUACUAGAUUGUGGUGAGAAAAUAGAACUACUCGUUGAUAAAGAUAGCAUGCUCGCUCACAUGUAUUGUGGUUUCACACUCAUAAAUCAGUACUUGGGCAUUGGCUUUGUUUAAUAUAUAUAAGAAUGUUAUCAUCAAACUGUAAUAUCUCUACUAAUAAACUUUAUGGAAGUGCACUACCAACUGAAUGAGGAGAGAUCUAUCUUCACCUGAUGAUUCCACCCCUUUUUACAUAACACUAGCUGCUGCACAGUAAAAAGUGUCUCGCAGAUGCUCUUUAUGACACCAACUGACAGAUUAAUGAGUGCACUCAUGGAGAACAUAACAAGGUAUUUUAGGAAGUGCUUGGACUAGGUUCAAAUUUUUGACAAUCUUAGGCACGCUUUUUUUACAGUGUUGGUUUCAAUUUUUUUUUCCGACACAGUUAGACUUUCUGAAAUACAGCCUUGAACUACACAUAUUCUGUACAAAGCUUGUUUAGUUCUCUAAAACCUGCACAUGUUAGAUACAGUUUGCGAGAACAUGUGCAGAUUUGUGAGAACUAAAAACACUUUUUCCCAGAACAUGUCCAUUGAUAGUAAGAUUGUUUGCCAUAGUGAAAGGAGACAAUGCGCUUGAUAUAGCUUGUCAUGAGAUAAUGAAACAAUAGUGUUUAUUUUGUCACCAGCAAGAUGAUGAUGUGAAGAAUGACUAUUUGCGUCAUUCAGAGUUUCUACCAUUAAAUAGUUUCCCAUAACAGAAUAUUUGCUAAUAUUGGUAGCUAAAAAUGAGAUACUUAUGCUUGUUGAUGCCUUCCCUUUUUAUAGUAACAUCCAUGUGUCCAGCAUAUGUAGAAUAUUAGAUUUUUCUUGGCUGUUUAUUGUAGUUCGUUCUUAGGGUUUGGAAAAUUCUUUAGCUAUAUUCCUUGUCUCAAGCGAGCAUGAGCAAUAUCUUCUUUAUUCCGCGUGCCGCCAAGUUUCUCUAUUUUAGAUGGUUGUAUCUUUUCGCUUCUAAAAAGGGAUAUGUAUUUUAUUAAUCUGACUAUAAUUUGUGGUAGGUACAUACUGAAGGAUGUUCUGAGGCUAGCACCUGGUUUGAAGUUUUGAAAUUCACAACAAUACCUCAUAAUUUUGAUUUGAUAUCCAGAAUGUCAAUUGAAGAAUGAGCCUAUGAACUGCAUUGUAUUUUGUAAUAUAUCCUUAUAUAUGGUGCUUGUGGCAUUUUUCUUGCAAUUAUAAGUUUACAUUUAUGGGUAUUUACAGAGUCCCCCUUUCUUUUUCUGCAAGGGGCAAGGGGCAGUAGCUGUGCCAUUUGAUUUGAAGGACAAAGAGUUGAUCACAAAGGGGUAGCAUUCAGGAUAUAUACAGAAGAGUAUAGAACCAAAUUAUAUGAUGUAAUUGACCACUAUUUCUAUUAACUUCUCUCACACAAUGUUCAUGAGUUCAUGUACA